rnacentral:rRNA from 1 species
UAGGGAAUCUUCGGCAAUGGACGAAAGUCUGACCGAGCAACGCCGCGUGAGUGAAGAAGGUUUUCGGAUCGUAAAACUCUGUUGUUAGAGAAGAACAAGGACGUUAGUAACUGAACGUCCCCUGACGGUAUCUAACCAGAAAGCCACGGCUAACUACGUGCCAGCAGCCGCGGUAAUACGUAGGUGGCAAGCGUUGUCCGGAUUUAUUGGGCGUAAAGCGAGCGCAGGCGGUUUCUUAAGUCUGAUGUGAAAGCCCCCGGCUCAACCGGGGAGGGUCAUUGGAAACUGGGAGUCUUGAGUGCAGAAGAGGAGAGUGAAAUUCCAUGUGUAGCGGUGAAAUGCGUAGAUAUAUGGAGGAACCCCAGUGGCGAAGGCGACUCUCUGGUCUGUAGCUGACGCUGAGGCUCGAAAGCGUGGGGCGCAAACAGG